rnacentral:rRNA from 1 species
UACAGAGGGUGCAAGCGUUAAUCGGAAUUACUGGGCGUAAAGCGUGCGUAGGCGGCUUUUCAAGUCGGGUGUGAAAGCCCCGGGCUCAACCUGGGAAUUGCAUUCGAUACUGGAUCGCUAGAGUUCGGCAGAGGGAAGUGGAAUUUCUGGUGUAGCGGUGAAAUGCGUAGAUAUCAGAAGGAACAUCAGUGGCGAAAGCGACUUCCUGGACCAGAACUGACGAUCAGGCACGAAAGCGUGGGGAGCAAACAGG